UCAUGGAAAUCCUGAUGGGGAAGACCAUCACCCUUGAGGUGGAGUCUUCUGACACCAUCGACAAUGUCAAGGCCAAAAUCCAGGACAAGGAGGGGCAUCCUCCCGAAACCAAUAGCGCCUCAUCUUCAUCGGCAAGCAGCUGGAGGACGGCCGUACCCUAGCCGACUACAACAGCCGAAAGGAGCCAGAAGGAGUCCACCAUCCACUUCUUUCUCCACCUCCGUGGUGACGCAACACCAAGCCCAAGAAAAAGAAGGCAAGUUUAUCAGAAGGCUGGCGGUGAUUGAGGGAACUCUGGACUAAUUGUGCAUUCAACGCUGAAGGGGAUCGAUGUGCUCUCCACCAACUCUCAGCAAUUGAAGUUGUUGACAUAGGCUUAGGGUCUUCCUCGGAUAUUCUCAUUGAGUUGCAUUUUUCACUUUGAGACUUGUAUUGCUUGUUCAAACUCUUUUGGCCUCUAAUCCACAGCUACUAAUUGAUUGAAGAACAAUGAAGACAA